GCGUGCGUUCAGACACGCAACAUUCCUCCGUGUUGGCUUCAUCGGACUGUCUUUAGGACCCAGGUUGUCUCCUUUUGUAGUUGUUCGGAUCCGACGAGGGGAAACCGAGAUGCGCUUCAUCUCCUAUCACGAUUCACAUCGCGGCUGAGCGAGCCCAGCCGAACCGAACCGAGCUGAACGGGGCAGCUUCAAGCCAGGACCCGCUCCAUCACCUGCUCGUCCUCUCUUCUUUUCCUCUUAAUUGCUCUCCAUUAAAAGGCUGCUUUUUUCCCCUUACUUUAUUUAAUAUUAUUUAUUAAUCGAAAGCCUAUAUUUUUCCGGUUAAUUUCGGUAGAGUAUGAGACGCAGAGCAUCAUCGGAGGAGCAUUCCUCUUGCUGCCUUGGACCGUGAAUUAUCAAUGCUGCCAGCUGCGUUCCUGUGACAUGUCUCCCGCGAACGGAGGACAACAGCGGUGAAUUCCUGUUAACUUUUCUAAGCAUCAUUUGACGUUUCCAGCGGCAUCAGGUACUUCUUCCACUUGAGCGGCUGUCGGCGGAGAAGCAGCAGCGAUGUGGAGCAAGGACGGCACGUCUUCACUUUUCUUCUGCCUGCUGGUGCUCACGGCUCUCCGGGAAAUCAGAUCGGUGAGCGCCGUGUCGGAGAACAUCACCCUGUUCACGCGCAUCCUGGACAGACUGCUGGAUGGAUACGACAACCGUCUCCGGCCGGGUCUCGGAGACAGGGUAACCGAGGUGAAGACCAACAUCUUCGUCACCAGCUUUGGGCCGGUCUCCGACACCGACAUGGAGUACACUAUAGACGUUUUCUUCCGGCAAAGCUGGAGGGAUGAGAGGUUGACGUUUCACGGGCCGAUGAACAUUUUGCCCUUGAACAACCUGAUGGCGAGUAAGAUCUGGACUCCUGAUACCUUCUUUCACAAUGGCAAAAAGUCUGUGGCGCACAACAUGACCAUGCCCAACAAACUGUUACGGAUCAAAGACGACGGGACUCUGCUCUACACCAUGAGGUUAACAGUGCAUGCCGAGUGCCCAAUGCAUCUGGAGGAUUUCCCCAUGGACUUUCACUCCUGUCCUCUAAAAUUUGGCAGCUACGCCUACACAACCUCAGAGGUGACUUACGCUUGGACCCGAAAUGCUUCCGACUCGGUGGUGGUGGAAGAGGAGAGCUCCCGCCUGAACCAGUACGACCUGCUUGGUCAAACUGUUGGACAGGAACGCAUCAAAUCGAGCACAGGUGAAUACACAGUGAUGACGGCUCAUUUCCACCUAAAGAGGAAGAUUGGUUACUUUGUCAUUCAAACGUACCUCCCCUGCAUCAUGACAGUCAUCCUGUCCCAGGUGUCAUUCUGGCUAAACAGAGAAUCGGUCCCUGCUAGGACUGUGUUUGGCGUGACCACGGUCCUCACCAUGACCACUCUGAGCAUCAGCGCGAGGAACUCCCUGCCCAAGGUCGCCUACGCCACCGCCAUGGACUGGUUCAUCGCCGUCUGCUACGCCUUUGUGUUCUCCGCUCUGAUCGAGUUCGCCACUGUCAAUUACUUCACGAAGCGCGGCUGGGCCUGGGAUGGGAAGAGUGUCGUGAGUGAGAAGCAGAAGAAAGAGAGGGCUUCUGUGAUGAAGAAGAACAACGCCUACGCCGUAGCGGUGGCCAACUACGCGCCGAACGUCGGCAAGGACUCCGGCACGCUCCCGACCAUCGCCAAAGGCGGCGCCGUGGAUCCCGGCAAGGCCAGAGCGGACGGCAAGGCCCCGGAAGCCAAGAAGACGUUCAACAGCGUCAGCAGGAUUGACAGGCUGUCGCGGAUUAUGUUCCCGGUUCUCUUCGGCGGCUUCAACCUCGUCUACUGGGCCACCUACCUAAACAGAGAACCAGUUAUAAAGGAUAUGGUCCCGUCCAACUAGGGACGGGUUCCGGCCUGUGGAAGAGUCGAACCAAAUACCUCCAGCCACUAUGGUACACAUACUUUUUGCAGUCCCGGAUUGCAGUGUGAUCCUCUUUCUCCGCCCGUUUUCUACACCGUCUGCAGCACUUUUGAAGAAUCCCGGCUUUUGUAAAUGUCUAAUCGUUUGUGCUUCUGGCCUGAAGUGAAAGGACGCCGUCAAGCUUUAGAGGAAAAUCAGAAGGUACACGCGGUUGUCAUGUAAUUUAUUUCCAUUAGCAUCAAAACAGAACAGGCGCUACCAGUUGUUCUGCUUCACAAACAUCUGGCAAUGUUUAAUAUUUAACUUAAUAUUAACUGAAUAUUAAGUUAAAUCCAUGUCUGUGUCCAUUCACUUUUUAAGGAUUAAAUUAUUCUCCAUGAAUUACAGAAAUGUAUGAUAUAGAACAUUUGUUGAUGAUUUUUGUCUGUCAUUUUAAAUCAUUCAACCAUAUAUAUUCUCAUAAAGUGCUAUGAUUUUACUUUACAGCUUAACAUAUUUAAUUUUGCCCUAUUCUUUUACUUAUUUGAACAGACUUUGCAUGCAGAUUAAUUUCACAUAUCAGGACAUACAGCUCGACCUUUUCACUGGCAUCCAGGCAGAAACUUCAAACAUUCCAGGUAAAGACGAUUCUUCAGAAGAUGGGGGACUGAUUUGGUGCACAGUUGUUUUUAAUAAAACAUUCUUCCAGCUCUUCCUAUUUUUGUGAUGCUUUCGCUGACGUUGGCACUGCAACAACCACACGGAGGCAAACAGCGGCUGUAGAUUAGACUCCCGCUAUAUUUGAAGUCCUUGCUUCUUGGGUUCUUAUAGAGAUUUAUCGAUAAAACAAGUCGAUAUUUCUGGUUCAGUGAUAUCAUAAUGAAAUGGUUUUAAAAAAACAAUAAGUGAAUAAAUAAUUUUGGGUUGUUCUGACUAUUCAUCUAACCUAAUUUUUUUCAUUUUGAUAGCAGCAUUUCGGCCUUGUCUCUCUGGGAUAUGAGCCGAGCAGCUCCUCUUGUUCCUCUGCGGGAGUCGAUCCUGCCAACCAGCGCUGCCAUGCUGCCAACAACCAUUAUUAUUUAGCCAGAAAGCCCCGGUGGCACUGAGUUGUGAAUGCGGGGCUCGUUUCCUGACCUCCUUCUCGAGCCUGGCCUCCUCCUCAGUCCACGGCUGACCCCGCUUGUCUGCCCAGAGAUUGUGCCCUGACAGAAAUCUCUGCUGAUGGACGGGAAGUAUCCCGCCGGUCGCACAGCGCUGCGUGGCUGCUUACAGAAAUGCCUCAGAAAUCCACAUAAUUGACGGCCUUGCGGGGGUUUUAGGAAAUGUCCGAUCGCAGCAUUCAAGCGAAAAGAGUCCUUUUGAUACAUUUGAAGAGCAUUCUGAUGGAAACUUUCAUUUCUAACACUCUAAUAUAGCUAUUUCUGGUUCAUUUUUAAAACACUUAUUGCUACAUGAUUCACUCCCCUUAAGCUUUUCAACAUUUUGUCACGCUACAAUAACUCAUUUGAUUUAUUUGUUGUUUUUAGGCAUGGACAUUUUGUGCUAAAUCCACACAACGUAGGACUGAAACGAUUAAUCGUGACGAAUGGAUUAUUCAAAUAAUCAGCAACU